rnacentral:rRNA from 1 species
UGGGGAAUAUUGCACAAUGGGCGCAAGCCUGAUGCAGCCAUGCCGCGUGUAUGAAGAAGGCCUUCGGGUUGUAAAGUACUUUCAGCGAGGAGGAAGGCGUUGUGGUUAAUAACCGCAGCGAUUGACGUUACUCGCAGAAGAAGCACCGGCUAACUCCGUGCCAGCAGCCGCGGUAAUACGGAGGGUGCAAGCGUUAAUCGGAAUUACUGGGUGUAAAGCGCACGCAGGCGGUCUGUCAAGUCUGAUGUGAAAUCCCCGGGCUCAACCUGGGAACUGCAUCCGAAACUGGCAGGCUAGAGUCUUGUAGAGGGGGGUAGAAUUCCAGGUGUAGCGGUGAAAUGCGUAGAGAUCUGGAGGAAUACCGGUGGCGAAGGCGGCCCCCUGGACAAAGACUGACGCUCAGGUGCGAAAGCGUGGGGAGCAAACA